CCACCUGAUCCCAUCCCGAACUCAGCAGUGAAACGACGCAUCGCCGAUGGUAGUGUGGGGUUUCCCCAUGCGAGAGUAGGUCAUCGUCAAGC
rnacentral:rRNA from 1 species